rnacentral:rRNA from 1 species
UGCAAGUCGAGCGGACAGAUGGGAGCUUGCUCCCUGAUGUUAGCGGCGGACGGGUGAGUAACACGUGGGUAACCUGCCUGUAAGACUGGGAUAACUCCGGGAAACCGGGGCUAAUACCGGAUGCUUGAUUGAACCGCAUGGUUCAAUUAUAAAAGGUGGCUUUUAGCUACCACUUACAGAUGGACCCGCGGCGCAUUAGCUAGUUGGUGAGGUAACGGCUCACCAAGGCAACAAUGCGUAGCCAACCUGAGAGGGUGAUCGGCCACACUGGGACUGAAACACGGCCCAAACUCCUACGGGAGGCAGCAGUAGGGAAUCUUCCGCAAUGGACGAAAGUCUGACGGACCACCGCCGCGUGAGUGAUGAAGGUUUUCGGAUCGUAAAACUCUGUUGUUAGGGAAAAACAAGUACCGUUCGAAUAGGGCGGUACCUUGACGGUACCUAACCAGAAAGCCACGGCUAACUACUUGCCAGCAGCCGCGGUAAUACGUAGGUGGCAAGCUUUGUCCGGAAUUAUUGGGCGUAAAGCGCGCGCAGGCGGUUUCUUAAUUCUGAUGUGAAAGCCCCCGGCUCAACCGGGGAGGGUCAUUGGAAACUGGGGAACUUGAGUGCAAAAGAGGAGAGUGGAUUUCCACGUGUAGCGGUGAAAUGCGUAGAGAUGUGGAGGAACACCAGUGGCGAAGGCGACUCUCUGGUCUGUAACUGACGCUGAGGCGCGAAAGCGUGGGGAGCGAACAGGAUUAAAUACCCUGGUAGUCCACGCCGUAAACGAUGAGUGCUAAGUGUAGAGGGUUUCCGCCCUUUAGUGCUGCAGCAAACGCAUUAAGCACUCGCCUGGGGAGUACGGUCGCAAGACUGAAACUCAAAGGAAUUGACGGGGCCCCCCCAGCGGGGAGCAUG